CAGCAACCUGACAACUCUAUUGGAAUAGUCCCUGUUGCCUGACUUACAUGAACUGUUAACAAUGAAAAUGUAUUGAAAUUAUGCUGGAGAACCCCGCUUCUUGCUGGAUUUGAUGAAUCUUUACACAACCUUAAAGACAAACAGAGACAACUCUGAUGGCUGCCUAUGUGCCUAUAUAUACACAUACCUAGUGUUUGGUGAUGUUUAAGCCGAGCGGAGCAAAUUUCCGUUUGCUGUUUUCAUGGACUUUUCCAAGUCUCUCGAUAAUCUCCAACAAACAGAAUGGUUUCCUGAUACCUGGCCGUUAGGUCACCUAGCAGUCAGUUAAACUUAAGCCAAGCGAAGGAAAUCGCCAUGGUUAUUUUCAUGAUUCCUGUUUCUCCAUGUCUUACCACAAUUUUCAAUGUUCCGGAGAACUGACAGUGCCCCGCAGAGUCAUUACGUCUAGCCUCAAAAUACACACUAUGGAAUGCUUCUAUUUCUGAAAGAUUACGAAGGACCACACCACUCCAGACUCCUGUUCAAUAAUUUUAUUUCACAACUUUUGCUGUAACAAUGGCUGCUGUCUACUGCCACUUCAAAGUUCCUGUCCCACGGCUCUAUUUCUAGAAACCUGCACCCACAACAGCAGUGGUCUACAUUGAAUACUACUUAUAGGGAAAAUGACACUCAAGAUCUUCUUUUAUGUUAGGUAUCAAGGCGCAAGAAGAUGGAAUUAUAAUUGAUUAUUUUGAGAUGACACGUCUCAAAUAUGAAAUAAAUCCCCUAACAACGGCGAGAAGAAAACGAGUAAAGAAGACUGAUAAACUUAUUAAAUAGAAAAUAACUAUAAGGAUUUUUUUAUUAAGUAGACAAUAACUCUAAGGAUUUUUUUUUGUACAUAAUAACAGUUUGAAAAAUAAACGUUAGAUUUUA